UACCGGCGGCUCGAGUGGUGGCCACUAUUACUGGGCUUAAAGCGUUCGUAGCUGGGUUGUUAAGUCUCUUGGGAAAUCCAACGGCUCAACCGUUGGGCGUCUAAGGGAUACUGGCAACCUAGGGACCGGGAGAGGUGAGGGGUACUCCGGGGGUAGGAGUGAAAUCCUGUAAUCCUCGGGGGACCACCGGUGGCGAAGGCGCCUCACCAUAACGGCUCCGACAGUGAGGGACGAAAGCUGGGGGAGCAAA
rnacentral:rRNA from 1 species